rnacentral:rRNA from 1 species
GGUUAAGCGACUAAGCGUACACGGUGGAUGCCCUGGCAGUCAGAGGCGAUGAAGGACGUGCUAAUCUGCGAUAAGCGUCGGUAAGGUGAUAUGAACCGUUAUAACCGGCGAUUUCCGAAUGGGGAAACCCAGUGUGUUUCGACACACUAUCAUUAACUGAAUCCAUAGGUUAAUGAGGCGAACCGGGGGAACUGAAACAUCUAAGUACCCCGAGGAAAAGAAAUCAACCGAGAUUCCCCCAGUAGCGGCGAGCGAACGGGGAGCAGCCCAGAGCCUGAAUCAGUGUGUGUGUUAGUGGAAGCGUCUGGAAAGGCGCGCGAUACAGGGUGACAGCCCCGUACACAAAAAUGCACAUGCUGUGAGCUCGAUGAGUAGGGCGGGACACGUGGUAUCCUGUCUGAAUAUGGGGGGACCAUCCUCCAAGGCUAAAUACUCCUGACUGACCGAUAGUGAACCAGUACCGUGAGGGAAAGGCGAAAAGAACCCCGGCGAGGGGAGUGAAAAAGAACCUGAAACCGUGUACGUACAAGCAGUGGGAGCACGCUUAGGCGUGUGACUGCGUACCUUUUGUAUAAUGGGUCAGCGACUUAUAUUCUGUAGCAAGGUUAACCGAAUAGGGGAGCCGAAGGGAAACCGAGUCUUAACUGGGCGUUAAGUUGCAAGGUAUAGACCCGAAACCCGGUGAUCUAGCCAUGGGCAGGUUGAAGGUUGGGUAACACUAACUGGAGGACCGAACCGACUAAUGUUGAAAAAUUAGCGGAUGACUUGUGGCUGGGGGUGAAAGGCCAAUCAAACCGGGAGAUAGCUGGUUCUCCCCGAAAGCUAUUUAGGUAGCGCCUCGUGAACUCAUCUCCGGGGGUAGAGCACUGUUUCGGCAAGGGGGUCAUCCCGACUUACCAACCCGAUGCAAACUGCGAAUACCGGAGAAUGUUAUCACGGGAGACACACGGCGGGUGCUAACGUCCGUCGUGAAGAGGGAAACAACCCAGACCGCCAGCUAAGGUCCCAAAGUCAUGGUUAAGUGGGAAACGAUGUGGGAAGGCCCAGACAGCCAGGAUGUUGGCUUAGAAGCAGCCAUCAUUUAAAGAAAGCGUAAUAGCUCACUGGUCGAGUCGGCCUGCGCGGAAGAUGUAACGGGGCUAAACCAUGCACCGAAGCUGCGGCAGCGACACUGUGUGUUGUUGGGUAGGGGAGCGUUCUGUAAGCCUGUGAAGGUGUACUGUGAGGUAUGCUGGAGGUAUCAGAAGUGCGAAUGCUGACAUAAGUAACGAUAAAGCGGGUGAAAAGCCCGCUCGCCGGAAGACCAAGGGUUCCUGUCCAACGUUAAUCGGGGCAGGGUGAGUCGACCCCUAAGGCGAGGCCGAAAGGCGUAGUCGAUGGGAAACAGGUUAAUAUUCCUGUACUUGGUGUUACUGCGAAGGGGGGACGGAGAAGGCUAUGUUGGCCGGGCGACGGUUGUCCCGGUUUAAGCGUGUAGGCUGGUUUUCCAGGCAAAUCCGGAAAAUCAAGGCUGAGGCGUGAUGACGAGGCACUACGGUGCUGAAGCAACAAAUGCCCUGCUUCCAGGAAAAGCCUCUAAGCAUCAGGUAACAUCAAAUCGUACCCCAAACCGACACAGGUGGUCAGGUAGAGAAUACCAAGGCGCUUGAGAGAACUCGGGUGAAGGAACUAGGCAAAAUGGUGCCGUAACUUCGGGAGAAGGCACGCUGAUAUGUAGGUGAAGCGACUUGCUCGUGGAGCUGAAAUCAGUCGAAGAUACCAGCUGGCUGCAACUGUUUAUUAAAAACACAGCACUGUGCAAACACGAAAGUGGACGUAUACGGUGUGACGCCUGCCCGGUGCCGGAAGGUUAAUUGAUGGGGUUAGCGCAAGCGAAGCUCUUGAUCGAAGCCCCGGUAAACGGCGGCCGUAACUAUAACGGUCCUAAGGUAGCGAAAUUCCUUGUCGGGUAAGUUCCGACCUGCACGAAUGGCGUAAUGAUGGCCAGGCUGUCUCCACCCGAGACUCAGUGAAAUUGAACUCGCUGUGAAGAUGCAGUGUACCCGCGGCAAGACGGAAAGACCCCGUGAACCUUUACUAUAGCUUGACACUGAACAUUGAGCCUUGAUGUGUAGGAUAGGUGGGAGGCUUUGAAGUGUGGACGCCAGUCUGCAUGGAGCCGACCUUGAAAUACCACCCUUUAAUGUUUGAUGUUCUAACGUUGACCCGUAAUCCGGGUUGCGGACAGUGUCUGGUGGGUAGUUUGACUGGGGCGGUCUCCUCCUAAAGAGUAACGGAGGAGCACGAAGGUUGGCUAAUCCUGGUCGGACAUCAGGAGGUUAGUGCAAUGGCAUAAGCCAGCUUGACUGCGAGCGUGACGGCGCGAGCAGGUGCGAAAGCAGGUCAUAGUGAUCCGGUGGUUCUGAAUGGAAGGGCCAUCGCUCAACGGAUAAAAGGUACUCCGGGGAUAACAGGCUGAUACCGCCCAAGAGUUCAUAUCGACGGCGGUGUUUGGCACCUCGAUGUCGGCUCAUCACAUCCUGGGGCUGAAGUAGGUCCCAAGGGUAUGGCUGUUCGCCAUUUAAAGUGGUACGCGAGCUGGGUUUAGAACGUCGUGAGACAGUUCGGUCCCUAUCUGCCGUGGGCGCUGGAGAACUGAGGGGGGCUGCUCCUAGUACGAGAGGACCGGAGUGGACGCAUCACUGGUGUUCGGGUUGUCAUGCCAAUGGCACUGCCCGGUAGCUAAAUGCGGAAGAGAUAAGUGCUGAAAGCAUCUAAGCACGAAACUUGCCCCGAGAUGAGUUCUCCCUGACCCUUUAAGGGUCCUGAAGGAACGUUGAAGACGACGACGUUGAUAGGCCGGGUGUGUAAGCGCAGCGAUGCGUUGAGCUAACCGGUACUAAUGAACCGUGAGGCUUAACCUU